GUGGGGAAUCUUAGACAAUGGGGGAAACCCUGAUCUAGCCAUGCCGCGUGAGCGAUGAAGGCCUUAGGGUUGUAAAGCUCUUUCAGCUGGGAAGAUAAUGACGGUACCAGCAGAAGAAGCCCCGGCUAACUCCGUGCCAGCAGCCGCGGUAAUACGGAGGGGGCUAGCGUUGUUCGGAAUUACUGGGCGUAAAGCGCACGUAGGCGGAUCAGAAAGUCAGAGGUGAAAUCCCAGGGCUCAACCUUGGAACUGCCUUUGAAACUCCUGGUCUUGAGGUCGAGAGAGGUGAGUGGAAUUCCGAGUGUAGAGGUGAAAUUCGUAGAUAUUCGGAGGAACACCAGUGGCGAAGGCGGCUCACUGGCUCGAUACUGACGCUGAGGUGCGAAAGCGUGGGGAGCAAACAGGAUUAGAAACCCCGUAGUCC
rnacentral:rRNA from 1 species